rnacentral:rRNA from 1 species
GACGAAGGGGGCUAGCGUUGUUCGGAAUUACUGGGCGUAAAGCGAGUGUAGGUGGUUGUCGUAGUCAGGCGUGAAAGCCUUGAGCUCAACUCAAGAAAUGCGCUUGAUACUGGGCAGCUAGAGGACCGGAGAGGAUAGUGGAAUUCCCAGUGUAGUGGUGAAAUACGUAGAGAUUGGGAAGAACACCGGUGGCGAAGGCGGGUCUCUGGGCCGAAACUGACGCUGAGGAGCGAAAGCGUGGGGAGCGAACAGG